AGAGGAAUUAAUGUCUCCUCUGUGGUACCCUGUCUAAAUCUAGCAUUUCCCAGGUUAUUUAGACACUGGAGUUUUGAUUGGCUGACAUGGAGCAGGGUAGAGAAAGAAAAGGGUGGUGAUGGAGUAGCAGCGACAUCUCAAUCCCACCCCCCUCCCCAGCCAGGGAGUGGGGUGGGAAUAAGGACAGGGGGGUGGGAGGGAGGAGGGAGCUUUCCGCUUCUCCUGCUCACUGUCUCACCCCCCUCCCUCUCUCCCUUUCUCCCUCCUCUCUCCCUUCCUUCCUCCCUCCCUCCUUCCCUUGCUGCAGCAUCAGUGCCUACAGCUCCCGGGUUUCCCAGAAGCCUAAGCAUCCACCAUGCUGGAUAUUUUCAUUCUGAUGUUCUUCGCUAUUAUAGGUCUGGUUAUCCUGUCUUACAUCAUCUAUGUGCUCUAGCAUCCUAGGAGCCUUCUUGGUGGGGAGGAAGGCUUUGUGGAAGAGAAGGAUGGAGUCCAGAGGCCGAGCAACCUGCCUGCCCACGUCCAAGUGGACUUGUGCUUCUGAUCAUCAGAUCAUCACUUCGGCUCCGGGUCCCCCAGUUCAACAAGAGACUUCUUAUCUUCAGCAGCAGCCACAGAUUACUGCCCUAACGGGACCUCUCCCAGAGCCUUCUGGAGACUGUUAACCCUUGGCAAGCAAAUGGCAUUUUGAAAUGGAAGCCAGAGGCAGGCUGAGAAGCAGCUGCAUCUCAGCAUGUCCAGCAGAAUUCAUGGAUGUUGCUGGCAGGCUAUGCAGGCCGCGAUGAGUUCAAGUGGCAGAAGAAAAGCCCCAAGAAGAGAGUUGGAAUGUGAAAUCACCAAAGUCCCCAUGAAGGGCUGCUAGAAAAUAAGAUUUGAGACAGCCUUUUGUUGGUUCUGUGGGCAAGUGAAUCUUAUUGUACAAUCUCUCAUGUGUCCUUUCUCCCUUUUCCUUCUCACUAGGGCUUCCACAUGCAAGGAUUUCCCAUAUAAAAUCAAGGACAACUUGUACGUCUCCAUAUAUGGACUAAAUACAUUAUUGCAAGGGAAUAGGAUCCAUUUUUCACUCCUUCGUCAAAACUUUGGGACCUCAUUUUUAGAACUUGUCUCCAGCUCUGCUCUCUUUAGGCUGCAUAAACUCAUCUUUUCAGCUUUUAAUGCUGCUUUAUCAUUCCUUCCCCAUCCUACUGCCCCAGGUCCUCAUUAUAAAGAGAGAAAUUGUGGUAUGUAAAUCCUCAUUCUUUGUGCCAGAUGAAUUGAAGAACUGGAAUUGUAAAUCACAAAUAAGAUGGCCACAUUCUGCACCUUUGGCCCAGAGGAGAAGGGUUUGUUAUGAAAUCUCUGUAUAUAUUGUACCCCAAAUAUGAAUGUUGUAGAGAUAGUUGCACCUUCCUCCAAAAAGGCAUUUUUUGUGUCUUUGUAUUAUCAAUCAGCAUCAUCUGAAUCCUCUAUCCAAAUAGGGUUGAAGAAAGCAUAGACCCAGUCUAGAGUGCAGAUUAGCCUCAGAAUUUAAAAGUUGAGGCUGGGGUGUCUAGGAAUAUCCUUUCCAUGUCCUAUGAUCUAUUUUUAAAAGAAAUGAACAUGAAAAAUUAACAUCUUGUAUUAUAAACUUAAUACAAAUUGAAACAUUUGUACUGUGUUUUCAAAUAACGAGGACUGAGGAGAUACUUUUUAGUUAUACUGGAAAUGAAAAACUUACAUUCUUUAAGCUCACGGAAGGAGAAUCAGGUCAGGAUUCUAUACACAGAGUCCUGUUCCAGGCCCAAUUUGUCCACUAAUUAGCUUUAUGACAUUGAGCAAGUCAAGUCCCUUCUCUAGACCUCAGUUUUCUCAUUUGUCAAAUGAUGAAGGGGGAAUAGGUUGUCUCCAAGGUGCCUUCCAGCUUUAAAAUUCUAUGACUCAAUAUUUACGAAGACUGGGUCUUUGGAACAAACUCUUAAGAAUUAAGCAAUAAUCUCUUCUUCUCAUUCCACAAGUCAAGUUUUGUAAUGAAAACCCUGAUGCAACAUAAACUAUUGUAUCAUAAAUAACCACAUACUGAAGAGUAAAUGAUGUAUUUUACCACUUGUGAUUUUAACAUUUUAUUGUAUGAUAAUAUUUGGCAAUGACAAUUUGAAAGAUGCAUAAAUGCCAAGAGAAGAAUUUUGAAAAAAAAAUUUCUUUAAAUGCUGGAAUAUUUGAGGAUAUUAGCAGAAUUCUUAAUGCAUUAUUUCCUAUUUAUUAAAUAUUCUUCUGUAGUAAAGAUCUAUGGUAUAUGUCCCUAUGGCAUAUGUAUAAAUUCUAGUCUGAAAUUCUCCAUUUUAGACCAGAGUGCCAAGUCUGUGAUAGCUUCUAGAUAAUUCAGACAAAAUUGGCAAUUUUGGGGGAGACCUAAUGAUGUAGUUAAUAUAGCUCUUUACAGAAGAAGUUCUUUCAUAAGUCAUACACCCUUCUUUUAAGAAAACUUUUUUAUUUUUAUGAACUUGACAAACAUGAAGAAACAUGAUCAUUUCCAUAUACAAAGAACAGAAAAAGAGGAUUCUAUAAGAAACUAAAAGUCUAUUAUGUAUAGCUUGUUUCUUUUUAAAGUAUAUAAUAAAUUUAAUACUGUAGUUCCAAAACUA